GUCAGGGCAGUGAGAAAGCAAAGAAAUAGAUGUGAACCUGAAGAGCUGUGGGUUGGAAAGAUAAAUAGCUUAUUUCAUUAGGAAAACUUUGAGAGACAUAGUAUUGCCAAAUUCUAGAAAGUGAGUCAGUCCUUAAACGUGGACUAAUUGUAGCCAUGCAUUGAAUGUAAUACACGUAUUUUAUCAUACAAAAUUUAUAAAAUUAACAAAUAUUAUAGUAAUAAAAUUUUUAACUUAUACAAUUAACAAAUGUUAUAAUAUGUAUUAAGAAAUUACUGUAUAACUAAUGGGUACUAGGCUUAAUACCUGGGUGAUGAAAUAAUCUGACAACAAACUCCCAUAACACAUAUUUAGCUAUGCAACAAACCUGCACAUGUACCCCUGCAAACUAUGUGUCCAUCAACAGAUGAAUGAAUAAAGAAUGUAUGAUAUCAUUCUCAGUAAACUAUCACAAGGACAAAAAACCAAACACCGCAUGUUCUCACUCAUAGGUAGGAAUUGAACAAUGAGAACUCUUGGACAGAGGAAGGGGAACAUCACACACCGGGGCCUGUUGUGGGGUAGGGGAAGAGGUGAGGGAUAGCAUUAGGAGAUAUACCUCAUGUAAAUGAUGAGUUAAUGGGUGCAGCACACCAACAUGGCACAUGUAUACAUAUGUAACAAACCUGCACGUUGUGCAUGUGUACCCUAAAACUUAAAGUAUAAUAGUAAAAAAAACCGUAUGAUACAUGUAUACAAUGGAGUACUAUUCAGCCAUAAAAAUGAAUGAGAUUCUGUCAUUUGCAUCAAUAUGGAUGGAACUGGGGGUCAUUAUGUUAAGUGAAAUAAGCCAGGCACAGAAAGACAAACUUCACAUGUUCUCUUAUUUGAGAAAGCUAAAAAUUAAAACAAACUCAAAAAAAAAAAAAGAAACUAACCACACACACACAAAAUGUGUUACACACUAUAUACAUGAUUCCACUUAAUCUUUACUGGUGCCUAGGAGGUAGAUGCAUUAGCAUUCUUAUUUUAUAUAUGAGAAAGCUCAGAUUUGGAAAGAUUCAUUAACUUAUUAUUUAAGUUAUAAUAACUUAAUAACUUAUUAUUUAAGUUAAAUGGCAGAGCCAGUCCUAAAAUGCUCCUCCACCUGACUUAAGAGUUUUGGGUCACACCUAACCAGAAAUUCUAACAAAGGGAAGCAAAUGUAAAAACAUAUGAACAUAAAACACAUGAACAUAUGAACAUGAGAUUCAAUGUCACAGGCAACAGAAUAAGAAAGUAGGUUGAUUCAGAACUCAGAUUUUAUCUUCUAGCACGGUGAUAAUAACAAAACACUUCCAGACACCUGACUUAGAACCAGAAUUUUUACACUCAAAAAUAAGCUAUAUCAAAUGUCCACUUAGACUCAUGUCAUUAUAGUAAUAAGCUAAUUUAUAAUCAUUGUUAAUUAUCAAAUUGUCAGAUGUUAAUACUACAACAGCAGCAACAAGAAUAAUAAACCACUCUCUACCAGGAAAAACUGACUCAUGCAGCCAAUACCAGGCUUGCUUCGUCAGGGUAUUGGCAUAUUAACAAUGAUGGAUGUGUAAGCAAAGAGCUGUAAAUCUGGAUGCAGGGACUCUUGAACAUCAACUAGAAGGAAGUGAGAUGAUCAAGUAUUUUUCUCUUGCCAGAUAUCAUUUCAUAUAUUCACUAAAAUAGUUCAUCAUCUGCUCUCUGAGGCAAUGAAGUUGCUUAAGUAAAAUUACUAUGGCUGCCCUAUUUAUUUCAGUUACACCCAGUUGAAAAAAUAAUUUAAUUUGAAGGAACUGAAUAUAAAUUUAUUCUUCCAUAUCUUUCUAUAAAAUAAAGGUCUAUUAAGGUCUUUAUAUUUUAAGUGUAACCUAAAAACUCCUAUUUUUUUUUCUGAUAACCACAAUUCUUGCCACAUGACAGCCUCAAAGAUGCUUUUGCUAGAAUAGCUAUAUGCCAAAAUGUUGGAUAUUUAAAAUACAGUUCUGCCUCUGACCUUCUUGUUGACACAAACCCUGUAACAUUUUUCUAAGAAUCAUUCUGAAUUCUGAUGCUGCUAAGAGUUAACAUUUAUUUCUCACUUUCGUUGUUUCCUUCCAUCUGAGUGACAUGCCUGGCCUCCCCAGCUUGAUUCAGAUUGUGAAUUCAUCAGAUUGGUAGAGUCUGGGAGACGACUAACUCUCCUGGCUGCCAGCCUGCCUGUGCUGCCUUGAGCAACAGUGAGGGACCACAUGUGCACUGUAUGGAUUAACUUGUAACAUCAGAGACAAGUACCCAAGUAUCAACAGCACAUAAAUUCAAGUCCGCAUGCAAUAGUCUUCACAACAUGCUAUGAGCUGGAGACCAAAAUGUUAGACGGAGAGAGAAGCAGAGACCCACAGCAAACACCAUGUGAGGAUGGAAGCAGAGUUUGGAGUGAAGCAGCAACAAGCCAAAGAGUGCUGAGCACCACCUGAAACUGGAAGAGACAAGGAAUGGAGUCACCGUGAGAGCCUCUGGAGGGACUAAAACUUUGCCAGUGCCUUGAUUUUAGACCUCCAGGCUCCAGAACUGCAAGAGAGUUUGUAUUUUUGUAAGCCACCAGGUUGGUGGUAAUUUGCUUGGAAGCCACAGGAAACAGAUGCACCAUGUCUUCAGACACCCUUUCUGUGACACCAUUCAAGCUUCUUGACAUCAGAAUGCAAGGCUGCAGACCUGAGAAUGUACUCUAGACAUUCCUUAUGUCAAUGCAGACUUGGGGCCAGCCAUAACAACUUAAAAUCUAGGUCCUUCAGCCUAUAUAUGAAUUACUGUUCUUCAUAUUUGAUUCAAAAUGUUUCAACUAAUACUAAAGCAAACCUACAGGAGCAGAAACUCCUAAUUUCAUGGAAGAACCUCCCUUCUUUAUUGAGGGAAAUGGAAUUACCCAAGGAAAAGAUGAAAAGAAGUGAAAUGUUCCUUCCUUUGCUGCUCUCAUUGAAUCUACUUUGACACUGAAGAAGCAAAUUCUGCCACUGAUCUUUUUGCAUGCUUAGUAUUACGUCUGUACAAGUGAGGGUGAAUUUCGCCUAAAAGAUUUUAAGAUUCUUUCUAGCUCUAAGAGUCUCUGUAAUUAUUUUUCUUUUUCUCAAUAAAUAUGUGUUGAAUAAAAGAACAAAUCAACAAAUGAAAACAUUGCUAUACAUGGAGCCAAAGUCAUUAAGCCUAUUGUAUUAUAAUAACAAGUAUUUAAGCUAAAAAGAAUACGUGUCUUACCAAAAUAUGAUUCCCUGGGACAAUAACCCAAACAGAUGAUAAAUUGUUGCAGGAAGGCAGGGACCCCGAAUGGAGGGACCAGCUGAAGCCAUGGCAGAAGAAUGUGGAUUGUGAAGAUUUCAUGGACAUUUAUUAGUUCCCCAAAUUAAUACUUUUAUAAUUUCUUACACUUGUCUUUACUGCAAUCUCUGAACAUAAAUUGUGAAGAUUUCAUGGACGCUUAUCACUUCCCCAAUCAAUACCCUUGUGAUUUCCUAUGCUUGUCUUUACUUUAAUCUCUUAUUCCCAUCAUCUUCAUAAGCUGAGGAGGAUGUAUGUCGCCUCAGGACCCUGUGAUGAUUGCACUAACUGCACAAAUUGUUUGUAGAGCAUGUGUGUUUGAACAAUAUGAAAUCUGGGCACCUUGAAAAAAGAACAGGAUAACAGCAAUGUUCAGGGAACAAGAGAGAUAACCUUAAACUCUGACUGCCAGUGAGCCAGGCAAAACAGAGCCACAUUUCUCUUCUUUCAAAAGCAAGUGGGAGAAGUAUCUCUGAAUUGUUUUUCUCAGCAAGCAACAUCCCUGAGAAAGAGAAUGCAUCCCUGAGGGUAGGCCUCUGAAAUGGUCACUUUGGGGGCGGCUGUCUUUUAUGGUCACAGCUGUGGGAUGAAAUAAGCCCCAAUCUCCUGUGGUGCUCCCAGGCUUAUUAGGAUGAGGAAAUUCCCACCUAAUAAAUUUUAGUCAGACUGGUUGUCUGCUCUCAAACCCUGUCUCCUGAUAAGAUGUUAUCAAUGACAAUGCGUGCCUGAAACUUCAUUAGCAAUUUUAAUUUUGCCCCAGUCCUGUGGUCCUGUGAUCUCGCCCUGCCUCCAUUUACCUUGUGAUAUCUUAUUACCUUGUGAAGCAUGUGAUCUCUGUGACCCACACCCUAUUCGUACACUCCCUCCCCUUUUGGAAAUCACUAAUAAAAACUUGCUGGUUUUGUGGCUUGGGGGCAUCACGGAACCUGCCGAUAUGUGAUGUCUCCCCC
rnacentral:lncRNA from 1 species